rnacentral:RNase_P_RNA from 1 species
UCAGAUGGCCGGAUGGCUGCUCCGCUUUGGCGGGGAGGAAAGUCCGGGCUCCACGGAAACACGGUGCCAGGUAACACCUGGCGGGGGCGACCCUAGGGAAAGUGCCACAGAAAGCAAACCGCUCUGACUUUGGUCGGAGUAAGGGUGAAAGGGUGCGGUAAGAGCGCACCGCGUCUCCGGUAACGGCGGCGGCACGGUAAACCCCACCGGGAGCAAGACCAAAUAGGGGCGGCAUUUAAGCGGUUUCCGGCGCGCCGCCCGGGUAGGUCGCGCGAGGCGGCUGGCGACAGCCGUCCCAGAUGAAUAGUCAUCUCCCGUUUUUAAAGACGGGAACAGAACCCGGCUUAUAGGCCGUCUGGCUUU